CGCGACUUCCUAUCCAAACCCAAAAAUUUCGGGCUGGUUAGUGGUUAUGCCUCCACCAAAUCCAUCUGCUGGUCGGUGCAUCUCCUCUCCGCCGUGAUUCAUGGAUCACCACCGCGCCUCAGCACUCCCCGCCGCGCCCCACCCUCCCACCCGCGACUCAGCUCUCCCCUCCGUGCCCCACCCUCCCACCCAAGCACAGAUCCGUGGCCGCAUCUGGAUCAACCCGCGCGCCGACGGGCAUGUCGUUCCGCCCCUGGGAAUCAUCGUCGGGGCAUCCUUGACCGCCAUCAGCCGACACAUGCAGUAGGGUUCUCCAACUCUGCAACACGUCGUGCCGCUGAUUUCACCUGGUUGCAGCCAUUGACGAAGGCGGCGAUGAUACAAUCAUAGCAUGUCGAGGUUGGAAUUAGGAUGGUCACCAUCUCUUGUUUGAAGCACCGCUGAUGGGGUAGGGGACUUAUCCAUGUUGUCGGAAGCAGACUUGUGUGCUAAUCCUAGUACCUCGCUGCCCUCAAUCAACAUGUGUAGGCACGGCUAAAGGGUUACCAGUGGUGGCAUGAGGUUGUUGUUGCAGGUCAUCGACGAGCCUCUGAUGUUCCAAGUCGACGCGCAUGUGCCAUCGCCUGAGACGUGGCCGGCGGGCAUUGUGGCAGAUGACACAAAAUCUGUGAAGCAAAUUCUCAUCUUAGUGGAAGAGGACUCGAACCUCCACGCUCUUCAGCACGAGAUUUUGAGUCUCGCGUGUCUACCAUUUCACCAUCAAGGCAUCUUGAAAGUGAAUCAUAUUCCAUGAAUAUGAUAUCUAUCUAAUGUGAUAUAUGGAAUAUAUGACAAAGGUGGAGUCUUGGAGUAUUUCGAUCGAUCGGUCAUAUAGGCCUGAGUCAGACAUAAAAUAGCUUCGAUUUGCAUUAUCCGUAGGACACCUUAUAUGUAUCAAAAUCGAUAUCAAAAUCAAAAAAGUUAUUUCCUCCGCAUGAAGCAAUGAUUAUGGAAACAAAUAUGUGUUUCAUUCAAAGGAUGUACUAUUACCUGGAAGCAAGUUAUGUGCUCUUUUUGAAUCAA